AAAUAAGAAGCAAAAAUUGCGCUUAGUUUCGACCUAAGAAUCUGAUUAAUAAAAUCCUUAUUUU
rnacentral:tRNA from 1 species